rnacentral:rRNA from 1 species
UACGGAGGGGGCUAGCGUUAUUCGGAAUUAUUGGGCGUAAAGGGCGCGUAGGCGGCCUGUUAAGUCGAACGUGAAAUCCCCAGGCUCAACCUGGGAACUGCGUCCGAUACUGGCAGGCUUGAAUCCGGGAGAGGGAUGCGGAAUUCCAGGUGUAGCGGUGAAAUGCGUAGAUAUCUGGAGGAACACCGGUGGCGAAGGCGGCAUCCUGGACCGGUAUUGACGCUGAGGCGCGAAAGCCAGGGGAGCAAACGGG